rnacentral:rRNA from 1 species
CAGAAACUUAAAUGAAUUGACGGGGCCCGCACAAGCGGAGGAACAUGUGGUUUAAUUCGAUGAUACGCGAGGAACCUUACCUGGGCUUAAAUGGGGAGUGACAGCUGUCGAAAGAUGGUUUUCUUCGGACACUCUUCAAGGUGCUGCAUGGUUGUCGUCAGCUCGUGCCGUGAGGUGUCGGGUUAAGUCCCAUAACGAGCGCAACCCUUACCGUUAGUUACCAUCAGGUUAAGCUGGGGACUCUAGCGGGACUGCCACCGUAAGGUGAGAGGAAGGUGGGGAUGACGUCAAAUCAGCACGGCCCUUAUGUCCAGGGCUACACACGUGUUACAAUGGCCGGUACAAAGGGCAGCUACUUCGCGAGAAGAUGCUAAUCUCGAAAGCCGGUCUCAGUUCGGAUCGAAGUCUGCAACCCGACUUCGUGAAGCUGGAUUCGCUAGUAAUCGCGCAUCAGCCAUGGCGCGGUGAAUACGUUCCCGGGCCUU